rnacentral:rRNA from 1 species
GACGAACGUUGGCGGCGUGCUUAACACAUGCAAGUCGAACGGAAAGGCCCUGCUUUUGUGGGGUGCUCGAGUGGCGAACGGGUGAGUAACACGUGAGUAACCUGCCCUUGACUUUGGGAUAACUUCAGGAAACUGGGGCUAAUACCGGAUAGGAGCUCCUGCUGCAUGGUGGGGGUUGGAAAGUUUCGGCGGUUGGGGAUGGACUCGCGGCUUAUCAGCUUGUUGGUGGGGUAGUGGCUUACCAAGGCUUUGACGGGUAGCCGGCCUGAGAGGGUGACCGGCCACAUUGGGACUGAGAUACGGCCCAGACUCCUACGGGAGGCAGCAGUGGGGAAUAUUGCACAAUGGGCGGAAGCCUGAUGCAGCAACGCCGCGUGCGGGAUGACGGCCUUCGGGUUGUAAACCGCUUUCGCCUGUGACGAAGCGUGAGUGACGGUAAUGGGUAAAGAAGCACCGGCUAACUACGUGCCAGCAGCCGCGGUGAUACGUAGGGAGCGAGCGUUGUCCGGAUUUAUUGGGCGUAAAGGGCUCGUAGGUGGUUGAUCGCGUCGGAAGUGUAAUCUUGGGGCUUAACCCUGAGCGUGCUUUCGAUACGGGUUGACUUGAGGAAGGUAGGGGAGAAUGGAAUUCCUGGUGGAGCGGUGGAAUGCGCAGAUAUCAGGAGGAACACCAGUGGCGAAGGCGGUUCUCUGGGCCUUUCCUGACGCUGAGGAGCGAAAGCGUGGGGAGCGAACAGGCUUAGAUACCCUGGUAGUCCACGCUGUAAACGGUGGGUACUAGGUGUGGGGUCCAUUCCACGGGUUCCGUGCCGUAGCUAACGCUUUAAGUACCCCGCCUGGGGAGUACGGCCGCAAGGCUAAAACUCAAAGGAAUUGACGGGGCCCCGCACAAGCGGCGGAGCAUGCGGAUUAAUUCGAUGCAACGCGUAGAACCUUACCUGGGUUUGACAUGGCUCGGGAGUGCUCAGAGAUGGGUGUGCCUCUUUUGGGGUCGGUUCACAGGUGGUGCAUGGCUGUCGUCAGCUCGUGUCGUGAGAUGUUGGGUUAAGUCCCGCAACGAGCGCAACCCUUGUUCACUGUUGCCAGCACGUUAUGGUGGGGACUCAGUGGAGACCGCCGGGGUCAACUCGGAGGAAGGUGGGGAUGACGUCAAGUCAUCAUGCCCCUUAUGUCCAGGGCUUCACGCAUGCUACAAUGGCUGGUACAGAGAGUGGCGAGCCUGUGAGGGUGAGCGAAUCUCGGAAAGCCGGUCUCAGUUCGGAUUGGGGUCUGCAACUCGACCUCAUGAAGUCGGAGUCGCUAGUAAUCGCAGAUCAGCAACGCUGCGGUGAAUACGUUCCCGGG